UUAUCUCCUUGAGUUCCUCUCAAACACUUCUCUCAGGAUCUUCUAUCUCUAGCUAGGAAUUAUGGCAUUUUUGGUAUACAAUAUAGUAUAUCAUGCAUGCAUUAUUUCCCUAGUGAAGUGUUUGGGGGAACUCUGGGUGCAAU